AAUUGAGGGGGGCCCGCACAAGNCGGUGGAGCAUGUGGUUUAAUUCGAAGCAACGCGCAGAACCUUACCAGCUCUUGACAUUCGGGGUUUGGGCAGUGGAGACAUUGUCCUUCAGUUAGGNUGGCCCCAGAACAGGUGCUGCAUGGCUGUCGUCAGCUCGUGUCGUGAGAUGUUGGGUUAAGUCCCGCAACGAGCGCAACCCUCGCCCUUAGUUGCCAGCAUUUAGUUGGGCACUNUAAGGGGACUGCCGGUGAUAAGCCGAGAGGAAGGUGGGGAUGACGUCAAGUCCUCAUGGCCCUUACGGGCUGGGCUACACACGUGCUACAAUGGUGGUGACAGUGGGCAGCGAGACAGCGAUGUCGAGCUAAUCUCCAAAACGCCAUCUCAGUUCGGAUUGCACUCUGCAACUCGAGUGCAUGAAGUUGGAAUCGCCUAGUAAUCGCAGAUCAGCAU
rnacentral:rRNA from 1 species